rnacentral:rRNA from 1 species
GACGAACGCUGGCGGCGUGCCUAAUACAUGCAAGUCGAACGAGAGCGACCGGUGCUUGCACUGGUCAAUCUAGUGGCGAACGGGUGAGUAACACGUGGGUAACCUGCCCAUCAGAGGGGGAUAACAUCCGAAAACGGAUGCUAAAACCGCAUAGGUCUUCGAACCGCAUGGUUUGAAGAGGAAAAGAGGCGCAAGCUUCUGCUGAUGGAUGGACCCGCGGUGCAUUAGCUAGUUGGUGAGGUAACGGCUCACCAAGGCCGUGAUGCAUAGCCGACCUGAGAGGGUGAUCGGCCACAUUGGGACUGAGACACGGCCCAAACUCCUACGGGAGGCAGCAGUAGGGAAUCUUCCGCAAUGGACGCAAGUCUGACGGAGCAACGCCGCGUGAGUGAAGAAGGUUUUCGGAUCGUAAAACUCUGUUGUUAGAGAAGAACAAGUGCUAGAGUAACUGUUAGCGCCUUGACGGUAGCUAACCAGAAAGCCACGGCUAACUACGUG